CGCAGAUAAUGAUAUAAUUUAUUUAGAAAUUGUGUUGUUUCAUAAUUUUUUGGUAAAAGAAUCAUAAAAAAAUUUUUAAGCUUCCAUAUUUUCUCCUAUAAUCAUCACUCCAGAUGAAAUGCAUGAAAUACUGAAUGCUCAGUUAUGUCACCUUUAGUCGAAAUGCCCAUAGCCCUUGCAGCUUUUCAUAAACAAUAUGCCUUUAUACUAUAUACCUACCCCUUGAGCCAUCAACUACUUAAUGCUUUCAAGUGUAGUUUCAAACGCAGUUUUACCACCCUCUUGCGCACACACACACACCCACAUACACUGAAGUGUGCAGAAAAAGGAGGAGGUGGAGAGCAGAGGAAGAAAUGGAGCACGUUGUUGUUUUUCAUUCAUGCAGUAUAGUGAUGUCAGUGUCUGCAGCAGCAGUGGCAGCGGCAGGAACCUUGACCAGUGCAGGCUAAAAUCCACUCAAGUCAGAACCUUACGGCAUUCAAAAGAAACUGAGAAGAUAAUCAUUCGAAAAAUUAAAUCAACUGUUCAGAUCAUGGAUUUUAAAUGGCUAAGGAAACAGAACAGAUUAGUAGGACAGUUUUAAUUUGGGUAGUGGGGGUAAAAGGCGGGACAUGGAGAAGUAACAUAGGAGUAAUAUAAUCAGGGAACUGGGGGCACAGAAGCCCGCAUUCAAAAAUCACUGCAAUGUAAGAAACUGACAAAACCACCUGGUGUUUAAAACAGCAGAAAAACAUCUUUAGCAAAGAAAGCCCUUGCAUUCCCAACACAAGCUCUCUGACACUGCAAAUCUGUCUGCUGCACAACCAGACUCAGAAAAGUGUUUUCAUCAUGAUUGCAUUAAAAUCGCAUUAAACUCGGAUGUGCCACACUACAACAAAGGAGAAUAGUUUAAGCCAGAUCACAAAUUUUAUUAAAACUGCUUGAUGAUGGAGCAUGUAAUUCCUAAGCAAUUAAGCCUUUUGAAGGAUGCAGAAAAACAAGUUGUACUAUUAUCCGUUGUAAGAUGUUAGUGUUUAUAUACAAAAGGGGAGGAGGUACUAGAUGGCCAUUAUGUUGUUGCAGCAAUUGCCGAAACUUCUCUUACUCACACCCACAAGACCCUCUGUACACAAUCUGCAAUGCUUAUUUUAUGCCUCUUAGUCCCUACAAGAAAAUCCCAAAACUCAAUUUGUGCACUGUUGAAGCGAAAUCACUAAAAAAUUUAUGUAACUGUUUUCUGUUCGUUCUGUUACUUCUCAUUUCAUACAGUUCUAGAAAAUGUGCAAAGGAGUUGCAUAUGGCAUUAAUCUGUUAGAAAAUGGUGGCCUUUUCUAUAAAAUACAGCCAAAGAUGUGUGUUCAGUUGUGGUCAUUAUUAGGGCGAUCACGUUGUUUUCAUUCAUUCAUUCAGGAUUUGCUGGAGGAUGUCAGUUUCUGCAGCAGCUGGCUUGACCUGGGGGAGGAGUGGAGGAGCAUAUUCCUCCCAAUGCAUACAGAUUACAGGAUGUAUUUCUUGGUGCUCAUGUACUCAUCCCACUGCACUACAUCCUACACUGGUUCACCAUCAAGUGGUCAGAAAACAAGUGCGUUAGCAACAUGCUAAUUACGGGUCUGAAAUAUUAAAACAAAAACACCAAGACUGCAAUGUAUCAUAAUGCAGACAGCCACUUUCUCCAACUCUAACACCUUCAUCAAGAAAACUCCACUAAAAAAAAAAUCCACAUACCACAUAAACAAUGUACAGACUUUGACAGUGUUUCCCUUCCAAGCAGAGAUUUUUCCACCCAGUAUUAUCUGUUCCCUCCACAAUGCAGCAGCAGCAUCUGUAGCUCUAGUUUGGUAUCUAACAAUAUUAGCUAUUCCACUCUCCCUUAUGAGCUUUAAGUCCCUGUUUUGGCUAAUCUUCCUUUUCUCCCCCAGGGCUCAACUAAAUCAUGCACUGUGUCCCUAGACAUAAACAAAACCAAAGCAAAACAGAAAACACUAAGGGAAACCCACAGCAUCCACCAGCUCACCAUUACCUUUGACACCUAACAAAAAAAGAAACUUGAGAUCCUCGAACAGCUCAACUGAACUGUUAAGUGUACUUAAAAAUGGAAGGAAAAAAACGAACACGUUCCACAAAUAAGUUUUCAGAAAUUUACCAUGAAAAUCUCCGGUAGAGCACAAACAGUGCAGGAGUGCUCUGAUGCAUGAAUAUAUAAAGGGGAGGGGGAGAAAGAGAGGGAGAGAGAGAGGCGGGGUGGCGGGGGGGUGGGGGAGAGGGAGAGAGGGAGGACUGAGGGAAAAAACCGUAUACACUUCAAUUGUACAUUCAAAACUGUCCCCUCUCGCAGAUCUCAUUACAUCCAGCCGAUAUCCUUACAUCGAAACUAAUGCCACCAACCCUCUAAAAAAUAAAAAAUUAUCCCGGUAGUUACAGGCACGUUAGGAACUUUGCAGAAAAGCACAAAGAGACUGUAGAGAUUACAACCACCACCUUAUCCGCUGCUGAAGAGUUUGUGUGCGUGUUAAGUGUUUCGCCCAGCUUCUCCUUCCCCGGCUACAAACAGCAAACACACGAAUGAGCUAGCCAGCUCUUAAACUGAAAAACCUCUCGAAGCAGGCGAGUGAUGGAAGAGAGAAUCUGAGGGGCGGCAUGAGGGUCAAAUAAAAGUUGCUUUUCAGUUCGCUCCUCCAAGCCCCACAGCGACCGCAGGGGGGUGAGAUUCCCAAAGCCACUUUCACACCUUCGAUAAUGCACUAGCAAAGAGAAGCCCGAAGAGGCUGAAGUUUCCACGGAGGGCACCGUCGGGGAGACGCAGCCCGGGAGGACGGGAGGGUUGGGCUCGCUACCUCUGCACACGGGCGAGCCGGGGCUCCGUCUCUCAGCAUGUGACACCUUCUGCCAUGAGAUGAUGCUACAAG
rnacentral:lncRNA from 1 species